GUAAAGUGAUUUGUACAGACCAAGAAGUGGCGCCAAUAAUUAGACAUAGUGGCCAGUGUAAAAACUGCAGGGUUUUUAGUUUUCGCUUAAAUGUAAAAAGUGACGUGGAAAAUUAAAAAUAACAUCAUCAAAAAUUAUUUAAAAAUAUGUUAAACAUAAAGAAAGUUAUUUAAACAGCAGAUCAUUUUCUGAAGACAUAUUCCCUUUAAAUAUUCAUUUGAAAUAGGUAGCAUGCAUAGUUUAUUGUUUCUUUUUUAGGUAAAACUUUACUAUCAGUACACUCAAAAAGAUAAAAGUAAAACGGUAAAAAAAUAAGCAUUACUAAUUUCACUGAUCCCCCACCGCUACCAUUCUGACACUUACCGUGUACCUGUUGGCCUCCAGUUUCUGUUUCCGACAUGACACACAGAAAAUGGCACAGCAGUGACCUGCCCCAGUCAAUGAUCGGCUGAAUGUUGAAUGGGCAUAUCUUGCCAUUUACUGUGUGUUCUGAAACUGGAGACCAGUGGGGUAAACAUCGGGGAUCGGUGAGAUAAAUGCUGCACUUUUCAUACCAUUAUGUCUCCCUAAAAAUUUUAUAUAAGUGGACAGCCCCUUUAAGAAUAUAAGAAAAUUACAGAACUUUUUGAGUACUUUGAGACCUAUUUUAUAGUGUUUUUUUUAGAGAUGCAAAAAAUAAUAAUUAGCACAUAACCAUAUAUAGUUUAUUUUUUCAAUAAUAAAUAUUUGGCUUGAUUGUCACUUACUAUGGAAUAUCUAUUAGGAUGGUUGUUAUUGCCUUUUAUUUUUUUAUGUAUUUUCACAGCUAAAGUUAAAUUUACACCAUAUCUGAACAAUCCCACCGAUCUGUGGUGCACUGUUUGCACUUCACCAUGAAUACACCGACAUGCCCAGACUUUAGUUGGCAAAUGUAUCUGACAAGGGUGUCCUUUUUAGCAUAUGUUUGGGUGGGAUAUAUCAGGAUCCCACAGCCCCAGUUGUAUUAAAAAGGAUAGUCAACUAUACUUUUCAAUGAAACUGUGUAAGUGCACUCUGCGCUUUGCAUUGAGAUGUUUUACAGCCCAUCCCUUCUGAGUGACAGAUAUGGUAUCCAACCAGAUGACCAGGGGAGGGACUGUGAAGCAGCUCAAUAUAGAGAGCAGAGGGCACUUCACCAUGAAACCCCACCCUGUACGCUUCCAAGUGUAGAA